UUUCCGUAGGUGAACCUGCGGAAGGAUCAUUAUUGGAUUGUGAAACUUCAAUCUGCUGCUGGCUCUCCUCUGUGUCAAUGUUCACGCUUGUUGUCCAUUAUUUCUCCCACUGUGCACAAAUUGUAGCCCCGUCAGUAGGCCUAUGUUGUUUUUCACACUCCCUGAAUGUAAUCUGCUCUUUUUGAAUCUUGGGAAAUAAAAAACAACUUUCAGCAACGGAUCUCUUGGCUCUC
rnacentral:misc_RNA from 1 species